rnacentral:misc_RNA from 1 species
UUUCCGUAGGUGAACCUGCGGAAGGAUCAUUACUGUAUCCCCGAGGGUCCAGGGCUGGCUCUCACCCCAAAGGUCGUGCACGCCGUAGUGACCUCACACACCUCCGUCUCACCCCUAGGUGCACUACCGCGUGGGUCCCCCUUUGGCCGGUUCGGGGGGGGGGUUACGUUGUCACAGAAACAUUGUAUGAAGUGUAGAAUGUAUUUUUUGUUUUUGGGAUCACUCAAUCAAUACAACUUUCAACAACGGAUCUCUUGGUUCUC